rnacentral:lncRNA from 13 species
CCUUUUCUUACCAUCUCAGAUUUUUCUUUUAAUUCAAAUAGACUCCAAAAAAAUGUGAAUCUAUUUGAGCCAGUCCUAUUUGUUAUAUAUGUACAUAUAUACACACAUAACCAAAUGUGCAUAUUUUAUACACACACGCAAACACAUGACACAGAGUGCACCCAAUAUUAUAGUACAUGUAAUACACAGUCACGGAAAGCACCUGAACAUGAGAAGAAUUGACUAUGUUGUUGAUAUGGUCAUUCUGUGAAAUGUCUCCAGUGGCUUGUCGUCCUGCCAUUCAGUAGUUAUUUCCAGUACGAGCCUAAGAAAGACGUGGUCUUCGUGAGGAUUUAGACCUGGCAAGCUCAAUGCGGAACCAAAGGAUGAGCGAAAUCGGUUGCAGUGGUGGUUUAUUUACACCAAGACACACACCUCUUUACCUUGGCCGGAGGCCACGCAGGCAUGGGGAAAGGUUUUGCCAACGUACUCGCAAGGAUUCCCAUGGUUUCCUUUGCUCCCAGCUGUUGUGCGGGCUGGGUUUUUGGAGCAAAGGCAACGGAUACUGCUGAGGCUCCUGAGAGUGUCUCGUUUUCGAGGCUGCAGUAGCUCCAGUGUCCGGUUCUGCGGUACCGAGAGGGAGGCCUCAGGCUCCGAGGGGAAGUGUUGCAGUUGGUCCUAGAGCCCCAAGCCCAGCAAAGCCUCCGGUUCCCUGCUGGGGCGCACCUCUCGCUGAAACUCUUGCUCUCUGACUGGAGAAUGGAAUGGCCUCAACCAAGGCUCCCGGAACCAGCCCUGCCGCUCCCUCUUGUGAUCCCAUUCUCAAGAGCGGCUUUCUGCGCCGCGUGGCAUCUCCUUCGCUUCAGCGCCCUUGUGCGACUAUUGCGGCAACUACUUAGGCUCCUACGGGACGAGGAGAGGGAGGUCAGACUGAAACCCAUGAAGACUUACUGGAACCUGCAUCUGUCUCUUACUGCCUCCAACCUGGAGAAGGAGCUGGCAUCCAUAGCCAUGAAAGUAUGCACAUACCUGAACUAG